rnacentral:rRNA from 1 species
AGUGAACGCUGGCGGUAGGCCUAACGCAUGCAAGUCGAAUGGCAGCACAGUAAGAGCUUGCUCUUACGGGUGGCGAGUGGCGGACGGGUGAGGAAUACAUCGGAAUCUACUUUUUCGUGGGGGAUAACGUAGGGAAACUUACGCUAAUACCGCAUACGACCUACGGGUGAAAGCAGGGGAUCUUCGGACCUUGCGCGAUUGAAUGAGCCGAUGUCGGAUUAGCUAGUUGGCGGGGUAAAGGCCCACCAAGGCGACGAUCCGUAGCUGGUCUGAGAGGAUGAUCAGCCACACUGGAACUGAGACACGGUCCAGACUCCUACGGGAGGCAGCAGUGGGGAAUAUUGGACAAUGGGCGCAAGCCUGAUCCAGCCAUACCGCGUGGGUGAAGAAGGCCUUCGGGUUGUAAAGCCCUUUUGUUGGGAAAGAAAAGCAGCAGGUUAAUACCCCGCUGUUCUGACGGUACCCAAAGAAUAAGCACCGGCUAACUUCGUG